AAGAAAUAAUGCAGUUGUUUAUACUAAAAAGAAUUAACAUGUUGUUAAUGUUGUGUAAAGUACCAUUAUCAGGAAAAUGCCUUAAUUAUUCAACUUCCUAAUCCAGAUGUUACAGAUAAUAUCAUUUAAUAUGUUUUUCUUGACUUUGUUUCAGGAUGAAUCAUUGCCUCUUACCAUUGCCUUUAUUAGGCAGUUCCAAAUUUACAAAGAAUUUGAACUCCUAAAUUGAAAAAUAAUCCACUGGAGCACCUCCCUUCGCCCUUUAACAUUAUGCAAGGGAUAUUAUAUCACUUAAGAAGAUUCUUUUUGAUUACCUUUCUUUGGAAGUACAUGAAAGGAAGACAUGGUUUUCCAGCAUGUUUUCACAGCACAGGAGCCGGAAACUCCGUGGCAGCGGCAGUCUACUGACAUCAACUUGGCGACAGCCUGAAACCAACAGUAAUUGUGUUCAACUAUCAAUCAUAAAGUGUUUUACUCAACAACAGAAGCACAGUUAAUCUAAUCAAUUAACUUUCUGGGUCUAUUUCCUCUUGAAUAAAAAUGAUGGUUUUGAACGUAAA
rnacentral:lncRNA from 1 species